rnacentral:rRNA from 1 species
UACGUAGGGUGCGAGCGUUGUCCGGAAUUAUUGGGCGUAAAGGGCUCGUAGGCGGUCUGUCGCGUCGGGAGUGAAAACUCAGGGCUUAACCCUGAGCCUGCUUCCGAUACGGGCAGACUAGAGGUAUGCAGGGGAGAACGGAAUUCCUGGUGUAGCGGUGGAAUGCGCAGAUAUCAGGAGGAACACCGAUGGCGAAGGCAGGUCUCUGGGCCACUACUGACGCUGAGAAGCGAAAGCAUGGGGAGCGAACAGG